AGUAGAUCCACAGAGGGUUUGUCUUUUUUGAUCUCUCAGCUCUGAUUGGAAAUAAGUCAGUAUUAGCAGUGUUGUUAAAAUCUCCACCAUGAAGAUCCAUCAGGGUGCUUGGAGUCUAACAAGAGAAAAGGCAUCUCAAAGCCACAGUCACAGCUCUGGACACACAGGUGCUGAGAAGAACUGAUCAAACAGUAAUGUCUCCAUGGGGACCAGCCAGCCAGCAACAGUGUACACACUCACUGUGUACUGACCAGGACUCAGAAAAUCUGUUCUGCCAAUCCCUGGACUCCUAAUUAGCCUUCCAUCUCCCAAAAUGCUCUAUCUCAGAACCCAGCCACCAGGCUGUGAUAAAUCCAAGCCACAUGGAAAGACUGCAUGUGGGAGGCACAAUUCAAAUUAGAUUUGAACUUUCAUUUAUAUCCA